AAACUACUCCCUCCGUCCAAAAAUACUUGUCAUCAGAAUAAAUAAAAGAGGAUGUAUCUAAGACUCAUUUUAGUUCUAGAUACACCCAUUUUUAUUCAUUCUGAUGACAAGUAUUUUCGGACGGAGAGAAUACAUA
rfam:Triticum aestivum genome assembly, contig: Triticum_aestivum_CS42_TGACv1_scaffold_129401_2BL